ACAGCAGUAGCCGCGGGAAUACGUAGGGUGCAAGCGUUAAUCGGAAUUACUGGGCGUAAAGCGUGCGCAGGCGGUUUGUUAAGACAGAUGUGAAAUCCCCGGGCUUAACCUGGGAACUGCAUUUGUGACUGGCGAGCUAGAGUAUGGCAGAGGGGGGUAGAAAUCCACGUGUAGCAGUGAAAUGCGUAGAGAUGUAGAGGAAUACCGAUGGCGAAGGCAGCCCCAUGGGCCAAUACUGACGCUCAUGCACGAAAGCGUGGGGAGCAGACAGGAUUAGAGACCCCAGUAGUCCCUGUCUCUUAUAC
rnacentral:rRNA from 1 species